rfam:Salmo salar isolate Sally breed double haploid chromosome ssa01, whole genome shotgun sequence.
AAAUGCACUGAUUGUAAGUCGCUCUGGAUAAGAGCGUCUGCUAAAUGACUGAAA